rnacentral:rRNA from 1 species
UACAGAGGUCUCAAGCGUUGUUCGGAUUCAUUGGGCGUAAAGGGUGCGUAGGCGGCGCGGUAAGUCGGAUGUGAAAUCUCGGAGCUUAACUUCGAAACUGCAUUCGAUACUGCCGUGCUUGAGGACUGGAGAGGAGACUGGAAUUUACGGUGUAGCGGUGAAAUGCGUAGAUAUCGUAAGGAAGACCAGUGGCGAAGGCGGGUCUCUGGACGAUACCUGACACUGAGGCACGAAAGCCAAGGGAGCAA